rnacentral:rRNA from 1 species
AACGAACGCUGGCGGCAUGCCUAACACAUGCGAGUCGAACGAGAUCUUCGGGUCUAGUGGCGCACGGGUGCGUAACGCGUGGGAAUCUGCCCUUUGGUUCGGAAUAGCAGUUGGAAACGACUGCUAAUACCGGAUGAUGACGAAAGUCCAAAGAUUUAUCGCCAGAGGAUGAGCCCGCGUAGGAUUAGCUAGUUGGUGUGGUAAGGGCGCACCAAGGCGACGAUCCUUAGCUGGUCUGAGAGGAUGAUCAGCCACACUGGGACUGAGACACGGCCCAGACUCCUACGGGAGGCAGCAGUGGGGAAUAUUGGACAAUGGGCGAAAGCCUGAUCCAGCAAUGCCGCGUGAGUGAUGAAGGCCUUAGGGUUGUAAAGCUCUUUUACCCGGGAUGAUAAUGACAGUACCGGGAGAAUAAGCUCCGGCUAACUCCGUGCCAGCCGCCGCCGUAA